rnacentral:rRNA from 1 species
UACGUAGGGAGCAAGCGUUGUCCGGAGUCAUUGGGCGUAAAGCGCGCGUAGGCGGCCUCGUAAGUCCGUUGUGAAAGUCAAAGGCUCAACCUUUGAAAGCCGAUGGAUACUGUGAGGCUAGAGUCCGGAAGAGGCGAGUGGAAUUCCUGGUGUAGCGGUGGAAUGCGCAGAUAUCAGGAGGAACACCAAUAGCGAAGGCAGCUCGCUGGGACGGUACUGACGCUAAGGCGCGAAAGCGUGGGGAGCAAACGGG